GACGAACGCUGGCGGCGUGCUUAACACAUGCAAGUCGAACGGAAAGGCCCUGCUUUUGUGGGGUGCUCGAGUGGCGAACGGGUGCGUAACACGUGUGUAACCUGCCCUUGACUUUGGGGUAACUUCAGGAAACUGGGGCUAAUACCGGAUCGGAUCUCCUGCUGCAUGGUGGGGGUUGGAACGUUUCGGCGGUUGGGGAUGGACUCGCGGCUUAUCAGCUUGUUGGUUGGGUAGUGGCUUACCAAGGCUUUGACGGGUAGGCGGCCUGGGAGGGUGACCGGCGACAUGGGGACUGAGAGACGGCGCAGAGGGGAACGGGAGGCAGUAGGGGGGAAUAUGGCACAAUGGGAGGAAGUCGGAGGAAGAAACGCCGGGGGCGGGAUGACGGCCUGCGGGUAGUAAACAGCUUUAGCCUGUGACGAAGCGUGAGUGACGGUAAUGGGUAAAGAAGCACCGGCUAACUACGUG
rnacentral:rRNA from 1 species